rnacentral:rRNA from 1 species
GUCGCAANAUUAAACUCAAAGGAAUNACGGGGACCCGCACAAGCGGUGAUGAUGUGGAUUAAUUCGAUCCACGCGGAAAACCUUACCUACCCUUGACAUGUACGGAACCUUGUGAGAGGUGGGGGUGCUCGAAAGAGAGCCGUAACACAGGUGCUGCAUGGCCUGUCGUCAGCUCGUGUCGUGAGAUGUUGGGUUAAGUCCCGCAACGAGCGCAACCCUUGUCAUUAGUUGCUACGAAAGGGCACUCUAAUGAGACUGCCGGUGACAAACCGGAGGAAGGUGGGGAUGACGUCAAGUCCUCAUGGCCCUUAUGGGUAGGGCUUCACACGUCAUACAAUGGUACAUACAGAGGGCCGCCAACCCGCGAGGGGGAGCUAAUCCCAGAAAGUGUAUCGUAGUCCGGAUUGUAGUCUGCAACUCGACUACAUGAAGUUGGAAUCGCUAGUAAUCGCGGAUCAGCAUGUCGCGGUGAAUACGUUCCCGGGUCUUGUACACACCGCCCGUCACACCAUGGGAGUGGGUUUUACCAGAAGUAGGUAGCUUAACCGCAAGGAGGGCGCUUACCACGGUAGGAUUCGUGACUGGGGUGAAGUCGUAACAAGGUAGCCGUAAAGACUGGAGAUCU